rnacentral:rRNA from 1 species
AGUGAACGCUGGCGGCAGGCCUAACACAUGCAAGUCGAACGGCAGCACAGUAAGAGCUUGCCCCUACGGGUGGCGAGUGGCGGACGGGUGAGGCAUACAUCGGAAUCUACCUUUUCGUGGGGGAUAACGUAGGGAAACUUACGCUAAUACCGCAUACGACCUACGGGUGAAAGCAGGGGAUCUUCGGACCUUGCGCGAUUGAAUGAGCCGAUGUCGUAUUAGCUAGUUGGCGGGGUAAAGGCCCACCAAGGCGACGAUCCGUAGCUGAUCUGAGAGGAUGAUCGGCCACACUGGAACUGAGACACGGUCCAGACUCCUACGGGAGGCAGCAGUGGGGAAUAUUGGGCAAUGGGCGAAAGCCUGAUCCAGCCAUGCCGCGUGAGUGAAGAAGGCCUUCGGAUUGUAAAACCCUUUUGUUAGGAAAGAAAAGCAGCGGAUGAAUACCCCGCUGUUCUGACGGUACCCAAAGAGUAAGCAACGGCUAACUUCGUG